rnacentral:tRNA from 1 species
CGGGGCUUAGGUUAAAGAAAAGACCAAGAGCCUUCAAAGCCCUAAGCGGGGGUUAAAAUCCCCCAGCCCCUG